rfam:Arabis alpina cultivar Pajares scaff_54706_1_contig_0, whole genome shotgun sequence.
GGGUGUGAUCAUACCAACACUAAUGCACCGGAUCCCAUCAGAACUCCGCAGUUAAGCAUGGUUGGGUAAGAGUAGUACUAGGAUGGGUGACUUCCUGGGAAGUCCUCGUGUUGCUACCC